AUUGAACGCUGGCGGCAUGCUUUACACAUGCAAGUCGAACGGUAACAGGUCUUCGGGUGCUGACGAGUGGCGAACGGGUGAGUAAUACAUCGGAACGUGCCUAGUAGUGGGGGAUAACUACUCGAAAGAGUAGCUAAUACCGCAUGAGAUCUACGGAUGAAAGCAGGGGACCUUCGGGCCUUGUGCUACUAGAGCGGCCGAUGGCAGAGUAGGUAGUUGGCGGGGUAAAGGCUUACCAAGCCUGCGAUCUGUAGCUGGUCUGAGAGGACGACCAGCCACACUGGGACUGAGACACGGCCCAGACUCCUACGGGAGGCAGCAGUGGGGAAUUUUGGACAAUGGGCGAAAGCCUGAUCCAGCAAUGCCGCGUGCAGGGUGAAGGCCCUCGGGUUGUAAACUGCUUUUGUACGGAACGAAAAGCCUGGGGCUAAUAUCCCCGGGUCAUGACGGUACCGUAAGAAUAAGCACCGGCUAACUACGUGCCAGCCGCCGCCGUAAUAC
rnacentral:rRNA from 1 species